UUCCUUAAAGAAUGCUGAACAGUAAGCAUGAUGAUUGGGUGUUCAUACUGUUGUGUGACAUGUGCCUCUCUCAAACUUUGUUACCACCUUGGCACAUUACCCAUCUGAUA
rfam:Canis lupus familiaris chromosome 15, whole genome shotgun sequence.